rnacentral:rRNA from 1 species
AGCGAACGCUAGCGGCGGGCCUAACACAUGCAAGUCGAGCGGAGAACUUCGGUUCUUAGCGGCGGACGGGUGAGUAACGCGUAGGUAAUGUGCCUUCUGGUGGGGAACAACCGUGCGAAAGCAUGGCUAAUACCGCAUAUGUCGAGAGAUGAAAGCCUUCGGGCGCCAGUAGAGCAGCCUGCGUCCCAUUAUUUAGUCCUAGUUGGUGAGGUAACGGCUCACCAAGGGUACGAUGGGUAGCUGGUCUGAGAGGAUGAUCAGCCACACUGGAACUGAGACACGGUCCAGACUCCUACGGGAGGCAGCAGUGGGGAAUAUUGCGCAAUGGGCGAAAGCCUGACGCAGCCACGCCGCGUGAGUGAUGAAGGCC